rnacentral:pre_miRNA from 1 species
AUAAUUAUUACAUAGUUUUUGAUGUCGCAGAUACUGCAUCAGGAACUGAUUGGAUAAGAAUCAGUCACCAUCAGUUCCUAAUGCAUUGCCUUCAGCAUCUAAACAAGCACCAGUAAAUACC